rnacentral:rRNA from 1 species
AUUGAACGCUGGCGGCAUGCCUUACACAUGCAAGUCGAACGGCAGCACGGGAGCAAUCCUGGUGGCGAGUGGCGAACGGGUGAGUAAUAUAUCGGAACGUGCCCAGUAGUGGGGGAUAGCCCGGCGAAAGCCGGAUUAAUACCGCAUGAGACCUGAGGGUGAAAGCGGGGGAUCGCAAGACCUCGCGCUACUGGAGCGGCCGAUAUCAGAUUAGCUAGUUGGUGGGGUAAAGGCCUACCAAGGCAACGAUCUGUAGUUGGUCUGAGAGGACGACCAGCCACACUGGGACUGAGACACGGCCCAGACUCCUACGGGAGGCAGCAGUGGGGAAUUUUGGACAAUGGGCGCAAGCCUGAUCCAGCAAUGCCGCGUGCAGGAAGAAGGC